rnacentral:rRNA from 1 species
UACGUAAGGGGCAAGCGUUAUCCGGAUUUACUGGGUGUAAAGGGGGCGCAGACGGCGAUGCAAGCCAGGAGUGAAAGCCCGGGGCCCAACCCCGGGACUGCUCUUGGAACUGCGUGGCUGGAGUGCAGGAGGGGCAGGCGGAAUUCCUGGUGUAGCGGUGAAAUGCGUAGAUAUCAGGAGGAACACCGGUGGCGAAGGCGGCCUGCUGGACUGCAACUGACGUUGAGGCCCGAAAGCGUGGGGAGCAAACAGG